CCUACGGGUGGCAGCAGUGGGGAAUAUUGUACAAUGGGGGCAACCCUGAUGCAGCGACGCCGCGUGAGUGAAGAAGUAUUUCGGUAUGUAAAGCUCUAUCAGCCGGGAAGAAAAUGACGGUACCUGACUAAGAAGCGCCGGCUAACUACGGGCCAGCAGCCGCGGUAAUACGUAGGGGGCAAGUGGUAUCCGGGUUUACUUGGUGUAAAGGGGGCGUAGACGGGGCGGCAGGGCUGAAGUGAAAGGCAGGGGCUUAACCCCUGAACUGCUUUGGAAACUGCCAUGCUAGAGUGCUAGAGAGGUAAGUGGAAUGCCUAGUGUAGCGGUGAAAUGCGUAGAUAUUAGGAGGAACCCCAGUGGCGAAGGCGGCUUACUGGACAGCAACUGACGUUGAGGCUCGAAAGCGUGGGGAGCAAACAGGAUUAGAUACCCCUGUAGUC
rnacentral:rRNA from 1 species